AACGAACGCUGGCGGCAUGCCUAACACAUGCAAGUCGAACGAUACCUUCGGGUCUAGUUGCGCACGGGUGCGUAACGCGUGGGAACCUGCCCUUAGGUUCGGAAUAACUCCCCGAAAGGGGUGCUAAUACCGGAUAAUGUCUUCGGACCAAUGAUUUAUCGGCUUUGGAUGGGCCCGCGUUGGAUUAGCUAGUUGGUAGGGUAAAAGCCUACCAAGGCGACGAUCCAUAGCUGGUCUGAGAGGAUGAUCAGCCACACUGGGACUGAGACACGGCCCAGACUCCUACGGGAGGCAGCAGUGGGGAAUAUUGGACAAUGGGCGAAAGCCUGAGCCAGCAAUGCCGCGUGAGUGAUGAAGGACUUAGGGUUGUAAAGCUCUUUUACCCGGGAUGAUAAUGACAGUACCGGGAGAAUAAGCUCCGGCUAACUCCGUG
rnacentral:rRNA from 1 species